AGUGAACGCUGGCGGUAGGCCUAACACAUGCAAGUCGAACGGCAGCACAGUAAGAGCCUGCUCUUACGGGUGGCGAGUGGCGGACGGGUGAGGAAUACAUCGGAAUCUACUUUUUCGUGGGGGAUAACGUAGGGAAACUUACGCUAAUACCGCAUACGACCUACGGGUGAAAGCAGGGGAUCUUCGGACCUUGCGCGAUUGAAUGAGCCGAUGUCGGAUUAGCUAGUUGGCGGGGUAAAGGCCCACCAAGGCGACGAUCCGUAGCUGGUCUGAGAGGAUGAUCAGCCACACUGGAACUGAGACACGGUCCAGACUCCUACGGGAGGCAGCAGUGGGGAAUAUUGGACAAUGGGUGCAAGCCUGAUCCAGCCAUACCGCGUGGGUGAAGAAGGCCUUCGGGUUGUAAAGCCCUUUUGUUGGGAAAGAAAAGCAGCAGGUUAAUACCCCGCUGUUCUGACGGUACCCAAAGAAUAAGCACCGGCUAACUUCGUG
rnacentral:rRNA from 1 species